UACAGAGGUCCCGAGCGUUGUUCGGAUUCAUUGGGCGUAAAGGGUGCGUAGGCGGCGGGGAAAGUCUGAUGUGAAAUCCUGGGGCUCAACCCUGGAACUGCAUUGGAUACUUCCUUGCUAGAGUACUGGAGAGGAAACUGGAAUUUACGGUGUAGCAGUGAAAUGCGUAGAUAUCUGGAGGAACACCGGUGGCGAAGGCGGCAUCCUGGACCGAUACUGACACUGAGGAGCGAAAGCCAGGGGAGCAAACGGG
rnacentral:rRNA from 1 species